GGGCCAAUAGCUCAGUCGGUUAGAGCGCUUCUCUGAUAAGGAAGAGGUCCCUAGUUCGAGUCUAGGUUGGCCCA
rnacentral:tRNA from 1 species